CAAGUCGAGCGGGGAAGAGUAGCUUGCUACUUUACCUAGCGGCGGACGGGUGAGUAAUGCUUAGGAAUCUGCCUAUUAGUGGGGGACAACAUCUCGAAAGGGAUGCUAAUACCGCAUACGUCCUACGGGAGAAAGCAGGGGACCUUCGGGCCUUGCGCUAAUAGAUGAGCCUAAGUCGGAUUAGCUAGUUGGUGGGGUAAAGGCCUACCAAGGCGACGAUCUGUAGCGGGUCUGAGAGGAUGAUCCGCCACACUGGGACUGAGACACGGCCCAGACUCCUACGGGAGGCAGCAGUGGGGAAUAUUGGACAAUGGGGGGAACCCUGAUCCAGCCAUGCCGCGUGUGUGAAGAAGGCCUUUUGGUUGUAAAGCACUUUAAGCGAGGAGGAGGCUACCGAGAUUAAUACUCUUGGAUAGUGGACGUUACUCGCAGAAUAAGCACCGGCUAACUCUGUGCCAGCAGCCGCGGUAAUACAGAGGGUGCAAGCGUUAAUCGGAUUUACUGGGCGUAAAGCGCGCGUAGGUGGCCAAUUAAGUCAAAUGUGAAAUCCCCGAGCUUAACUUGGGAAUUGCAUUCGAUACUGGUUGGCUAGAGUAUGGGAGAGGAUGGUAGAAUUCCAGGUGUAGCGGUGAAAUGCGUAGAGAUCUGGAGGAAUACCGAUGGCGAAGGCAGCCAUCUGGCCUAAUACUGACACUGAGGUGCGAAAGCAUGGGGAGCAAACAGGAUUAGAUACCCUGGUAGUCCAUGCCGUAAACGAUGUCUACUAGCCGUUGGGGCCUUUGAGGCUUUAGUGGCGCAGCUAACGCGAUAAGUAGACCGCCUGGGGAGUACGGUCGCAAGA
rnacentral:rRNA from 1 species